AAGAUGUCGCCGCUUUCCGCCAGAGCUCUCUCCAUCACCCGGAUGCUGCAGUCGAAAAAAUUCUGGAAGUCGGACGAGUGCAUUAUUUGUUGCCUCUCCUCCUCCGUCAGUUCCCGCAGCACAGGGAACGAGCCUGCCGGUAUCCAGAUUCUGUUUAUUGUCUGAACACAAUGUGCUAUUCCAGUUGGUCUCCUUAUCCAGCUUCAGGAUGAAUAGAAAGAUGACCUACCCAAGCUCAGAAUCUGCUUGCAGCUGCAGCACAGAGGGGUCUGUGUCCCACUGCAGGGUCCUGACAUCACCAAUAGAGGGGGAGGUGUAUUGACCUAAAGGAGGCUCGGGUGAGAUGCCGAUACUCUGCAGCAAGGCCUCGGUCUCCCGCCGCUUGCGGUCCAAGUCCGAGUCCUCUGAGGUCGCCUCCGUCUUCUGUUGGAUCUCUGCCUGCACAGAAG